rnacentral:rRNA from 1 species
CCUACGGGAGGCUGCAGUGGGGAAUAUUGGACAAUGGGGGGAACCCUGAUCCAGCCAUGCCGCGUGUGUGAAGAAGGCCCUCGGGUUGUAAAGCACUUUCAGCGAGGAAGAACGCCUGGUGGUUAAUACCCAUCAGGAAAGACAUCACUCACAGAAGAAGCACCGGCUAACUCCGUGCCAGCAGCCGCGGUAAUACGGAGGGUGCGAGCGUUAAUCGGAAUUACUGGGCGUAAAGCGCGCGUAGGUGGCUUGAUAAGCCGGUUGUGAAAGCCCCGGGCUCAACCUGGGAACGGCAUCCGGAACUGUCAAGCUAGAGUGCAGGAGAGGAAGGUAGAAUUCCCGGUGUAGCGGUGAAAUGCGUAGAGAUCGGGAGGAAUAACAGUGGCGAAGGCGGCCUUCUGGACUGACACUGACACUGAGGUGCGAAAGCGUGGGUAGCAAACAGGAUUAGAUACCCUAGUAGUC